rnacentral:rRNA from 1 species
AUUGAACGCUGGCGGCACGCCUAACACAUGCAAGUCGAGCGGUAGCAUGGUUAGUAGCAAUACUAACUGAUGACGAGCGGCGGACGGGUGAGGAACACGUAGGAACCUGCCCAAGAGAGGGGGAUAACUAAGGGAAACUUUAGCUAAUACCGCAUAAUUCUCUGAGGAGAAAAGUUGCCCGUAAGGGUAGCGCUUUUGGAGGGGCCUGCGUCCGAUUAGUUAGUUGGUGAGGUAAUGGCUCACCAAGACUGUGAUCGGUAACUGGUCUGAGAGGACGACCAGUCACACUGGGACUGAGACACGGCCCAGACUCCUACGGGAGGCAGCAGUGGGGAAUCUUGGACAAUGGGGGCAACCCUGAUCCAGCGAUGCCGCGUGGGUGAAGAAGGCCUUCGGGUUGUAAAGCCCUUUAGGCUGGGAAGAAGUUUAUGGGAUGAAUAAUCCUGUAAAUUGACGGUACCAGCAGAAUAAGCACCGGCAAACUCUGUGCCAGCCGCCGCGGUAA